GGGCUGAUAGCUCAGCUGGUUAGAGCACUCGGCUGAUAACCGAGAGGUCGAUGGUUCGAGUCCAUUUCAGCCCACCA
rnacentral:tRNA from 10 species